rnacentral:rRNA from 1 species
AGCUCGUGUCGUGAGAUGUUCGGUUAAGUCCGCUAACGAGCGCAACCUCGCUGUGUGUUACAAGUGUCACACGGUACUGCCGGUCUUAAGCCGGAGGAAGGUGGGGAUGACGUCAAGUCAGCAUGGCCUUUAUGUCCUGGGCUACACACACGCUACAAUGGCCAACACAAUAGGUUGCUAAGCCGCGAGGUGGAGCCAAUCCUCAAAGUUGGUCUCAGUUCAGAUUGCAGGCUGCAACCCGCCUGCAUGAAGAUGGAGUUGCUAGUAACCGCAGGUCAGCUAUACUGCGGUGAAUACGUUCCCGGGGCUU